AUUGAACGCUGGCGGCAUGCUUUACACAUGCAAGUCGAACGGCAGCGCGGGCUUUGGCCUGGCUGCGAGUGGCGAACGGGUGAGUAAUACAUCGGAACGUGCCCAGUAUUGGUGGAUAGCUCGGCGAAAGCCGGAUUAAUACCGCCUACGACCUGAUGGUGAAAGCUGGGGAUCUUCGGACCGCGCGCUAUUUUAGCGGCCGAUGGCAGAUUAGCUAGUUGGUGGGGUAAAGGCCUACCAAGGCGACGAUCUGUAGCUGGUCUGAGAGGACGACCAGCCACACUGGGACUGAGCCACGGACCAGACUCCUACGGGAGGCAGCAGUGGGGAAUUUUGGACAAUGGGCGAAAGCCUGAUACAGCAAUGCCGCGUGUGUGAUGAAGGCCUUCGGGUUGUAAAGCACUUUUGGCGGGAACGAAAAGGACUGUGCCAAUACCACGGUUCGAUGACGGUACCCGCAGAAUAAGCACCGGCUAACUACGUG
rnacentral:rRNA from 1 species